GCGCCAGUAGCUCAGUUGGAUAGAGCACUGGAUUUCUAAUCCAACGGUCAGGGGUUCGAGUCCCUUCUGGCGCGCCA
rnacentral:tRNA from 1 species